AUGAAUUUUAUUAUAUUUAUAGUUGCACAGCCAUCAUAACACCACAGCUGUGGCAACUCCAGAACCUUAACCCACUUUGCCGGGUGGGGGAUUGAACCCAGGCUGCUGCUGAGACAACACCAGAUCCUUAAAGCACUGUGCCGCAGCAGGAACUCCCCUGUUUGUUUAUUUUUGUUUCUAUUUCUCUUGCCUUGGGAGUAGAGAACACUGGUAUGAUUUAUGUCAGAGAAUGUUUUGCUUAUGAUCUCUUCUAGGAGUUUUAUGGUUUUAUGUCUUAUGUUUAAGUCUUUAAGCAAUUUUGAAUUUAUUUUUGUGUAUGGCAGGAGGGUGUGUUCUAACUUCAUUGAUUAGCAUGUGGCCAUCCAUCCAAUUUUCCCAACACCACUUGCUGAAGAGACUUUUUCCCAUUGUCUAUUCUUGAGAGAUUUGUGCCUUUAUAUCCCUAUAUUUAUUAGUCAUUGGAUGUAGAUUGCUCUAGGAAAAUGAUGAGGUGAGGUAGUAACGUGGAUCUUUAGCUAAGGUAGUUCCUGGAGAGGGCUGACGGCUGAAAGGCUCUCUGUGGCAGCACUUCCAGCAGCUUGGGGUAACAGUACAUCUUUUAGUUCCGAGGCGCCGUCUGGGAAGGCUUAUUACAGCAUCCACAAGCAGUAUAAUUGUAGGAUACUGUUAUAUAAUUUUAAUUGAUAUUGCCAAGACCAAAAUCUAAUGUAUGUAUUGGUACAUAUUUUGUGAAUAUAUGUUUCCACUGGCAACGCAAGAGAGUGCCUGUUUCCCCCAUCCUUGGUAAUAAAGGGUGUGGUCAAACUUCCUGAUUUUUUUUAAGUCAAGUUUUCAUAAUCUGUAUUUGAUUUUUUUUCCCCCACACUCAUGGCAUAUGGAAGUUCCCAGACCAGAGAUCAAAUCCACUCUGCGGUUGUGGCAAUACUGGAUCCUUAACCUGCCAUACCACAAGGGAACUUCCUAUAUUUGAUUUUUUACUAAUACCUUUUUUCAUAUUCCAUUUACUCCAAACUCUGCAAUGUACUCGCUAUCUCAGUUUGCUCAUAUGUAAAAUUAGAAUAAAACAACACACCUUUUUUUUUUUUUUUCCUUUUGUCUUUUUAAGGGCCGCACCCACGGCAUAUGGAGGUUACCAGGCUAGGGGUCUAAUCUGAGCUACAGCUGCCAGCCUACACCACAGCUCACGGCAAUGCCGGAUCCUUAACCCACUGAGUGAGGCCAGGGAUCGAACUUGAAACCUACUCAGAUUCGUUUCUGCUGCGCCACAACAGGAACUCCAUAAACAACAUACUUUAUAGGGGUAUUUUAGGGACAUAAUGAAUGCAAAAGCUCAUAUUUAAAAAUAGCAACCUGGAGUUCCCGUUGUGGCUCAGCAGUAAUGAAUCCUACUAGUAUCCCUGAGGAUGUGGGUUCGAUUUCUGGCCCCGCUCAGUGAAUUAAGGAUUUGGUGAGCUGCAGUGUAGGCUGCAGACCCGGCUCAGAUCUGGGUCCGUGGCUGUGGUAUAGGCCAGCAUCUGCAGCACCUAUUUGACCCCUAGCCUGGGAACUUCCAUAUGCCUUGGGUGCAGCCCUUUAAAAAAAAAAUUAAAUUAAAAAACAGCAACCAACCAAAAAAUAUUCUCUAUACCUCACAAUCAUAUACUGAUGAUUUCCUAAUCUACACAUACAGGCCAAAUUUCUUAUUGGCAGUUAAAAAUAUUCAUCUGCUUGCUUGUUAUUUCUAGUCUGAUGCCACCUAGGGACUUCAAAUGCAACAUGUCCCAGCCAAACUUAACAUCUUUCUCUUAAAAACUGCUCCUGGAGUU
ensembl:lncRNA